rnacentral:rRNA from 1 species
CGAUUAUGGAUGGACCCGCGUCUGAUUAGCUAGUUGGUGGGGUAAAGGCCUACCAAGGCGACGAUCAGUAGCCGGCCUGAGAGGGUGAACGGCCACACUGGGACUGAGACACGGCCCAGACUCCUACGGGAGGCAGCAGUGGGGAAUCUUCCGCAAUGGACGAAAGUCUGACGAAGCAACGCCGCGUGUAUGAUGAAGGUCUUCGGAUUGUAAAGUACUGUCUUUGGGGAAGAAUGACUGAUUUGAAAAUAUUGAGUCAGUAUGACGGUACCCAAGGAGGAAG